rnacentral:rRNA from 1 species
CCUACGGGAGGCAGCAGUGGGGAAUAUUGCACAAUGGGGGAAACCCUGAUGCAGCAACGCCGCGUGAAGGAAGACGGCUUUCGGAUUGUAAACUUCUGUUCUUAGUGAAGAAUAAUGACGGUAACUAAGCAGCAAACCAAGGCUAACUACGUGCCAGCAGCCGCGGGAAUAAGGAGGUGGCAAGCGUUGUCCGGAAUUACUGGGUGGAAAGGGAGCGCAGGCGGGGAGCCAAGUCAGCUGUGAAAACUACGGGCUUAACUUGUAGACUGCAGUUGAAACUGGUUUUCUUGAGUGAAGGAGAGGUUGGCGGAAUUCCGAGUGUAGCGGUGAAAUGCGUAGAUAUUCGGAGGAACACCGGUGGCGAAGGCGGCCAACUGGGCUUUAACUGACGCUGAGGCUCGAAAGUGUGGGGAGCAAACAGGAUUAGAUACCCGAGUAGUC